rnacentral:rRNA from 1 species
AGAGUUUUCGAGUCCCUAGGCUCAGAGCGAACGCUGACGGGCAGGCCUAACACAUGCAAAGUCGAACGAACUCUUCGGAGUUAGUGGCGGACGGGUGAGUAACACGUGGGACGUGCCUUUGGUUCGGAAUAACUCAGGGAAACUUGUGCUAAUACCGAAUGUGCCCUUCGGGGGAAAGAUUUAUCGCCAUUAGAGCGGCCCGCGUCUGAUUAGCUAGUUGGUGAGGUAAAGGGCUCACCAAGGCGACGAUCAGUAGCUGGUCUGAGAGGAUGAUCAGCCACAUUGGGACUGAGAUACGGCCCAAACUCCUACGGGAGGCAGCAGUGGGGAAUCUUGCGCAAUGGGCGAAAGCCUGACGCGGCCAUGCCGCGUGAAUGAUGAAGGUCUUAGGAUUGUAAAAUUCUUUCACCGGGGACGAUAAUGACGGUACCCGGAGAAGAAGCCCCGGCUAACUUCGUG